ACCAGCACUAAAGCACCGGAUCCCAUCAGAACUCCGCAGUUAAGCGUGCUUGGGCUAGAGUAGUCCUAAGAUGGGUGACCCCCUGGGAAGUCGGGG
rnacentral:rRNA from 1 species